rnacentral:rRNA from 1 species
GUAGGUGGCAAGCGUUGUCCGGAAUUAUUGGGCGUAAAGCGCGCGCAGGCGGUUCUUUAAGUCUGAUGUUAAAGCCCACGGCUCAACCGUGGAGGGUCAUUGGAAACUGGAGAACUUGAGUACAGAAGAGGAAAGCGGAAUUCCACGUGUAGCGGUGAAAUGCGUAGAGAUGUGGAGGAACACCAGUGGCGAAGGCGGCUUUCUGGUCUGUAACUGACGCUGAGGCGCGAAAGCGUGGGGAGCAAACAGGGAUUAGAUACCCAGGUAGUCCACGCCGUAAACGAUGAGUGCUAAGUGUUAGGGGGGUUUCCGCCCCCUUAGUGCUGCAGCUAACGCAUUAAGCACUCCGCCUGGGGAGUACGGCCGCAAGGCUG